rnacentral:lncRNA from 1 species
AAUGGAAUAAAAAUGCUUGAAUUAAUAAUAAAGAUCACACGUUACAGAUUUGAUGUUCACGAUCUCGCUCGAAACUGUCACUUCCUCGCGAAGAACGAUCUAAUACAAACUGAUAAUGUGCUUGAAUGAAUAAUACUUAACUACGAUAUUGUUCUCUACUAAAACUACUUCUCCGAGGCUAGGGUUUUACACACGAGAAAUAAAAAUACAUUGACCAAGUCAACCGGGCCUCGACCGCUGCGAAAAUCCGCUAAAAAGCUGUAAAAAUCGGCCCGGGGAACUUCUGCUGGGCGCGGCCGCGCUAAACUAGCGCAGGCGCGCUAGUUGUCCCAGUGGAUAGCGCGGGCGCGCUGUCAAGUAGCGCGGGCGCGCUACUGUCUGUGAUGGCAGCCCCGUUUCUUCGUUUCUCGCUCGUUCUCGCGUGCAUGUCCUUCCUCGCUUCUAGUACCACUUCCGUAGGUGAUCACGGUUGCAUUUAGCAUAUGCAACAAGCCCUUUAAACCCCUAGAUAGCUCUAGUGGACGAGUGUGCUCUCGUGAGGGUUUGUAGAAGAUAUACCCACAAAAUCCCAAG